UGUCUCCUGUUUAAGGGACACUUGUUGGGACCUGAUCUCCUCCUGUUUGCUUUUAAGAUCUCUGAUCUCUGCCUGUAGGGUCUCGUCGGAUUGUUGUCCUGCAUUUUGUUCCCGAUAUUCCUGCAAUGUUUUUUUGAUAAAUGCAUUGUCCUCCUCUAUCAAUAGGAGUUUAUCUGAUAAAAUGUUGAUGUCGGCUCGCAGUUCGCGAUUCUCCGCCUCCAGAUGUUCCAUUUUCCUCAUGAUUUGCUUAAAUUGGGAUGUCCAAAAAGCGAAAUUUGUCUCUAAUGCAAUAUCAGUGGGGCUGUAAACAUUCUCCUCUUUGUUGUUGCACUGUUGUAAGUAUUUCAGUGGGCCUCUGUUGUUAAAAUCUGGCGUUUCAGUUUCCCCGGGGUCCCUGAUCUGUUGUUGUUUUGUCAUGUUGGAAGUCUCACCCUGCUAUCCAUAGUACAGGCCAAGGGUAACAAAAUGGUGGACUACAGGAGGCAGAUGGGAGGGGAUGGCUACGGGUUGCAGUGGCACGGGUUACAGCCGCUGCAGUUUGAGCAGACGCAGACGGUUGCGGGCGGGGAGAGCCGAUGGGAUUGCGGGUAGGAGCAAACGGCUGCGGGCGGUUACAGCAAGCGGCUGUGGGCGGGGAGCGGAUGGUUGCGGGCAAGAGCGGACGACUGCGGGCAGGAUCAGACGACUGCGGAAGGGGAGAGCCGACGAGACAGCUGCAGGCGGGGAGAGCCAACGGGAUUGCGGGCGGGGCGGGGACAGGAGCAGAUCGUUGCGGGCAGGCUGAGGCGGGCGCAGAUGGCUGCAGGCGAACAGCAGGCGGUUGCGGGCAGGGAGAGUCGAUGGCACGGCAACGGGGAGAGCCGACAGCACGACAACAACAACAGACAGCUGCGGGCGAGGAGGGAGAGCCGACGGCACGGCAGCGGGGAGAAAAUAAAAAGGAAAUAAAACUAAGACAACAAGAAAAAAAAAAUCGAGGCAAACUCUAAAUGCUAGAUUAGCCCAAUAAAAGGGGGUAAGGGUCAACCAUGAGGACGAUGGGGGAUAAGCUUCAUCGUUGAGAGGGGAACAGCCCAAAUCACCAGCUAAGGCCCCUAAAUGACUGCUCAAUGAUGAAGUACAAAGUGCAAAGAUAGCCAAGAGGUUUGCCUAGAAGCAGCCAACCUUGAAAGAGUGCAUAAUAGCUCACUGAUCGAGUGCUCAUGCACCAAAGAUGAAUGGAACUAAGUGAUCUACCGAAGCUAUAGGAUGUCAAAAUACAUCAGUAGGGGAGCGUUCCACCUCAGAGGGAAGCACCGGCGUGAGCAGGUGUGGACGAAGCAGAAGAAAGAAUGUCAGCUUCAGUAAUGCAAACAUUGGUUAGAAUCUAAUGCCUCGAAAACCUAAGGUUUCCUCCAUAAGGUUCGUCCAUGGAGGGUGAGUCAAGGCCUAAGAUCAGGCCAAAAGGCAUAGUUGAUGGACAAGAGGUGAAUAUUCCUGUACUACCCCUUGUUGGUCCUGAGGGACAAAGGAGGCUAGGUUAGUUGAAAGAUGGUUAUUGAUUCAAGGAUGCAAGGUUACCCUUUUCAGUGUAAGAAGGGUAGAGAAAAUGCCUCAAGCCAAUGUCUGAGUACUAAGUGCUACAGUGAUGAAGUAACCCAUGCCAUAGUCUCAAGAAAAGCUCAAACAACCUUCAACAGAUCGGUACCUAUACCCAAAACCAACACAGGUAGGUGGUAGAGAAUACCUAGGGGCACGAGACAACUCUCUCUAAGGAACUUGGAAAAAUAGCCCCGUAACGUCGGGAGAAGGGGUGCCUCCUUAGGAGGUCACAGUGACUAGGCCCAAGUGACUAUUUACCAAAAAUACAGGUCUCUGCAAAGUCACAAGACCAUGUAAGGGGGCUGACGCCUGCCCAGUGUCGGAAGGUUAAGGAAGUUCAUGACCUAAUGACGGGGAAGCCAACAACCGAAGCCCCAGUGAAUGGUGGUCAUAACUACAAUGGUCCUAAGGUAGUGAAAUUCCUUUUCAAGUAAGUUCUGAUUUGAAUAAAAGGCAUAACGAUCUCGGCACUGUCUCGGAGAGAGACUCAGUGAAAUAGACAUGUCUCUGAAGAUGCGGACUACGUGCACGUGGACAAAAAGACCCUAUGAAGCUUUACUAUUCCCUGGGAUUGCCUUUGGGUUUUUCUUGCACAACUUAGGUGGAGGGCGAAGAAAGUCCCCUUCUGGGGGGCCUGAGCCCCCAGUGAGAUACCACUCUCAAAGAGCUAGAAUUCUAACCUUGCAUCAGGACCUACGGGCCAAGGGAAGUCCUCAGGUAGACAGUUAUCUAUGGGCGUAAGGCCUCCAAAAGGUAACGGAAGGCGUGCAAGGUUUCCCUCAGGCCGGACGGAAAUCGGCCCUCGAGUGCAAAGGCAGAAGGAAGCUUGACUACAAGACCCACCCAUCGAGCAAGGACGAAAGUCAGCGUUAGUGAUAUGACGGUGCCAAGUGGAAGGGUCAUCGCUCAAUGGAUAAAAGUUAGUCUAGGGAUAACAAACUGAUCUUCCACAAGAGUUCACAUCGACGGGAAGUUUUAGCACCUCGAUGUCAGCUCUUCGCCACUUGGGGUGGUAGUACUUUCCAAGGGUUGGGUUGUUCACCCAUUAAAGUGGUACGUGAGCUAGGUUUAGAACUUCGUAAGACAGUUUGGUCCAUAUCCGGUGCCAGCAUUAGAGCAUUGAGAGGACCUUUCCCUAGUACAAGGACCGGGAGAGACACACCUCUGGUGUACCAGUUAUCAUGCUGACGGUAGAUGCUGGGUAGCCAAGUGUGGAGCAGAUAACUACUGAAAGAAUAUAAGUAGAAAUCCCCAAGAUGAGUGCUCUCAUAUUCCUACUUCCCAGAGAGACCCUAGUCGCGAACAGGGCUGGGACAACAACGGGUUCUCUGUCCUUUCAUGGGAUGGAGCGACCAAAGUAUUGAUAAUCCAAGAUAAGGUCAUGGCUAGAUGAGCCAUUUAUAAUUAUGAUAGGUGUCAAGUGGAAGAGUAGUGAUGUAUGGAGCUCAGGCAUCCUUAUAGACCGAGAGAUUUCAAC
rnacentral:rRNA from 1 species